CAGAGCUGAAACUUCCUCCGGGCUGAGUGCGAGGGUUCACGGCUAGUUAUUAACCUAACAGGAACCGGGUAUUAAUGAGCUCUAAUACGGAAGUAGGUAGAAAGUAUGGCAUCAGCAGGAGUACUAACACUGGGAUAGCAGACACCAUGUUUACUAAUCACACAGUAUUGGGGACUGUGACUCUCAGAGCCAGGGAUUAGCUGUCCAUGAGAGCAACUGUCCAUAUCACAUGACAGCGACUGUCCAUAUCACAUGACAGCGACUGUACAU